UCGACGGUAACAGAACUAGCUUGCUAGUUGCUGACGAGUGGCGGACGGGUGAGUAAUACUUAGGGAUCUGCCUCUGUGUGGGGGAUAACUAUUGGAAACGAUAGCUAAUACCGCAUAACGUCUACGGACCAAAGAGGGCUUCGGCUCUCGCGCAGAGAGGAACCUAAGCGAGAUUAGCUUGUUGGUGAGGUAAAGGCUCACCAAGGCGACGAUCUCUAGCUGUUCUGAGAGGAAGAUCAGCCACACUGGAACUGAGACACGGUCCAGACUCCUACGGGAGGCAGCAGUGGGGAAUAUUGCACAAUGGGGGCAACCCUGAUGCAGCCAUGCCGCGUGUGUGAAGAAGGCCUUCGGGUUGUAAAGCACUUUCAGUUGUGAGGAAAGGUUAGUAGUUAAUACCUGCUAGCUGUGACGUUAACAACAGAAGAAGCACCGGCUAACUCCGUGCCAGCAGCCGCGGUAAUACGGAGGGUGCGAGCGUUAAUCGGAAUUACUGGGCGUAAAGCGCAUGCAGGUGGUUCAUUAAGUCAGAUGUGAAAGCCCGGGGCUCAACCUCGGAACCGCAUUUGAAACUGGUGAACUAGAGUG
rnacentral:rRNA from 1 species